rnacentral:rRNA from 1 species
CCCUACGGGGUGCAGCAGGUACGGGUGAUCUUGUUGAAGCGUACAGAAACACAAAACGGAUCAUCUGUAUCGGACCCUCGAGUGCGGGCACCGCCCGCCUCAAUGAACUCGAACACUGGUGCCCGUUCGGGACCGGAUGAGCGGGAUCACGUCUGUCAUUUUUCUUACCGUUUAAUAGCGGUAACAUCAUGUGGAAAAAAGACCAAUAUACCCUCAUGCUUUUUGGCUCCUCUGGGAUUCGGAGAAAAUUUGAUCAGACCCUGGUCGAUACAGCCUUGAGGGUCGGAUCUGCGCUGGCACACGAUUCACAGAAUGUGCUCGUCGGGACAGAUACCCGCACAACAAGUCCCCUGCUCGCACACAGGGUUAUCUCCGGAAUCAUGGGCGGGAGGGC